UGUGUGUGUCUUGGUUGUGUUUGUUUCGUAUGUGUGUGUGUGUGUAUAUAUAUACUGUAUAUAUAAAUGUUCACUCAGCACAUGGACAGUCCCACACUUUAAUUAAAGUGCUGCUGUAACUUUAAGUUUGAACAAACAAUUCAUCAAAGACAAAAGCAUAGACAA